GACGAACGCUGGCGGCGUGCUUAACACAUGCAAGUCGAACGGAAAGGCCCUGCUUUUGUGGGGUGCUCGAGUGGCGAACGGGUGAGUAACACGUGAGUAACCUGCCCUUGACUUUGGGAUAACUUCAGGAAACUGGGGCUAAUACCGGAUAGGAGCCCCUGCUGCAUGGUGGGGGUUGGAAAGUUUCGGCGGUCGGGGAUGGACUCGCGGCUUAUCAGCUUGUUGGUGGGGUAGUGGCUUACCAAGGCUUUGACGGGUAGCCGGCCUGAGAGGGUGACCGGCCACAUUGGGACUAAGAGACGGAGCAGACGCGUAUGGUAGGCAGCAGGGGGGAAUAUUGCACAAUGGGCGGGAGCCUGAUGCGGCAGCGCCGCGUUCGGGAUGACGGCCUUCGGGUUGUGAACCGCUUUCGCCUGUGACGAAGCGUGAGUGACGGUAAUGGGUGAAGAAGCACCGGCUAACUACGUG
rnacentral:rRNA from 1 species